UACGGAGGGUGCAAGCGUUAUCCGGAUUCACUGGGUUUAAAGGGUGCGUAGGCGGGUAAGUAAGGCCGUGGUGAAAUCUCUGAGCUUAACUCAGAAACUGCCGUGGAUACUAUUUGCCUUGAAUAUUGUGGAGGUGAGCGGAAUAGGUCAUGUAGCGGUGAAAUGCUUAGAUUUGACAUAGAACACCAAUUGCGAAGGCAGCUCACUACACAAUCAUUGACGCUGAGGCACGAAAGCGUGGGGAUCAAACAGG
rnacentral:rRNA from 1 species